GUGGACCACUACGGGUGCAGCUGUGAUGUGGAGAAAAAUUCAACCCUGUAGAUAAUAUUGCGAUGUCAAUAUUACUACAGGAUUCAGUUUGAUCCUGGUCAUAGCUGCUGAGAUAAUACCGUUGAACUUGAUAUCAGGUUAAAACCUGCGUAAGAAAAGUGAUCCAUUUGCUUU
rnacentral:ncRNA from 1 species